GAUGAAGAACGUAGCGAAAUGCGAUACUUGGUGUGAAUUGCAGAAUCCCGUGAACCAUCGAGUCUUUGAACGCAAGUUGCGCCCGAAGCCAUUAGGCCGAGGGCACGCCUGCCUGGGCGUCACACGUCGUUGCCCCCCCAUCUACUCCUUCGGGAUUGCGGGGGGCGGAUGAUGGCCUCCCGUGCGCCUUGUCGCGCGGUUGGCAUAAAUACCAAGUCCUCGGCGACGCACGCCACGACAAUCGGUGGUUGCGAAACCUCGGUUGCCUGUCGUGUGCGGUCGUCGCGCAUCGAGGGCUCGAAAACAUUGUCGGGCUUCGGCUCGGCUUUCAACGCGACCCCAGGUCAGGCGGGGUUACCCGCUGAAUUUAAGCAUAUCAAUAAGCGGAGGA
rnacentral:misc_RNA from 1 species